GACGAACGCUGGCGGCGUGCUUAACACAUGCAAGUCGAACGAAGUGGCGAACGGGUGAGUAACGCGUGAGUAACUGCCCCCCUCUCGGGGAUAACAGUUGGAAACGGCUGCUAAUACCGGAUAGUGGGGGAUGACUCGCGUCCUAUCAGCUUGUUGGUGGGGUAGUGGACUACCAAGGCGACGACGGGUAGCCGGCCUGAGAGGGCGACCGUCCUCAUGGGGCUGAGAUAUGGCCCAAACUCCUACGGGAGGCAGCAGUGGGGACUAUUGCACACUGGGGCAAACCCUGAUGCAGCAACCCGCGUGCGGGAUGCCGGCCUUCGGGUUGUAAACCGCUUUCAGCCAUGACGCGGUAGUGGCAGAAGAAGCACCGGCUAACUACGUGCCAGCAGCCGCGGUAAUAC
rnacentral:rRNA from 1 species